rnacentral:rRNA from 1 species
UGCGUAGGCGGCCUGUUAAGUCAAAUGUGAAAUCCCCGAGCUUAACUUGGGAAUUGCAUUCGAUACUGGUUAGCUAGAGUAUGGGAGAGGAUGGUAGAAUUCCAGGUGUAGCGGUGAAAUGCGUAGAGAUCUGGAGGAAUACCGAUGGCGAAGGCAGCCAUCUGGCCUAAUACUGACACUGAGGUGCGAAAGCAUGGGGAGCAAACAGGAUUAGAUACCCGC